AAGAAGGUAUGCCUUCGACGGUGUAGGGAUUUACUCCCGAAGCUGUUGAAGGUCGCAGGUAAUCGGUGGCUGCGACUGUUUAUCAAAAACACAGGACUCUGCGAACACGCAAGUGGAAGUAUAGGGUCUGACGCCUGCCCGGUGCCGGAAGGUUAAUUGAUGGGGUUAGCCGCAAGGCGAAGCUCUUGAUCGAAGCCCCGGUAAACGGCGGCCGUAACAAUAACGGUCCUAAGGUAGCGAAAUUCCUUGUCGGGUAAGUUCCGACCUGCACGAAUGGCGUAACGCUGGCCACACUGUCUCGACCCGAGACUCAGUGAAGUUGAAAUCGCUGUGAAGAUGCGACGUUCCCGCGGCAAGACGGAAAGACCCCGUGAACCUUCGCUACAGCUUUACAUUGAACUUUGAAUCUUCCUGUGUAGCAUAGGUGGGAGGCUUUGAAGCCUGGGCGCUAGCUCAGGUGGAGCCAACGUUGAAAUACCACCCUGGGAUAUUCGGAGUUCUAACCUUGGUCCGUAAUCCGGAUUGGGGACAAUGUAUGGUGGGUAGUUUGACUGGGGCGGUCUCCUCCCAAAGAGUAACGGAGGAGUGCAAUGGUACGCUCAGCGCGGUCGGUCAUCGCGCUCUAGAGUGCAAAGGCAUAAGCGUGCUUAACUGUGAGACAGACACGUCGAACAGGUACGAAAGUAGGUCUUAGUGAUCCGGUGGUUCUGUAUGGAAGGGCCAUCGUUCAACGGAUAAAAGGUACUCCGGGGAUAACAGGCUUAUUCCUCCCAAGAGUCCACAUCGACGGAGGAGUUUGGCACCUCGAUGUCGGCUCAUCACAUCCUGGGGCUGUAGCAGGUCCCAAGGGUAUGGCUGUUCGCCAUUUAAAGCGGUACGCGAGCUGGGUUCAGAACGUCGUGAGACAGUUCGGUCCCUAUCUGCCGUGGGCGUUGGAAACUUGAGGGUGAGCUGUCCUUAGUACGAGAGGACCGGGAUGGACGUAUCUCUGGUGUUCUGGUUGUCACGCCAGUGGCACUGCCGGGUAGCUAUAUACGGACGGGAUAAGCGCUGAAAGCAUCUAAGCGCGAAGCCCCCCCCAAGAUUAGGUUUCCCUGGGAACUCGAUUCCCCUAAAGGGCCGUCGGAGACUACGACGUUGAUAGGCUGGGUGUGUAAGUGCAGCGAUGCAUUGAGCUAACCAGUACUAAUUGCCCGUGAGGCUUGAUC
rnacentral:rRNA from 1 species